rnacentral:lncRNA from 1 species
UUCACUAUGAGUGUACUUCCUCAGCUCGGGUCUCACAGCCUGUACAGUUUUGAUCAGAUGAUGGCACCUCGAGGGGUUGAGAUCCUUGGCAUUGUAGAUCCCUUGUAAGUUUUCAACUUCAUUUUAUUUAUUGUGCUUGUCAAGGUGCAAUUUUGAUUGUGAGAGAAGCCAAUUCAGUCAAUCACAUUUUCCAGGAAGCUACCAAGGACAAAAGAAAAAACAAAAACAACACCCCAAAAUAAAGUAGAUCUGUAUUCAUUGAAUUUUAAAUCUCAC